rnacentral:rRNA from 1 species
UACCGAGGGUGCGAGCGUUAAUCGGAAUUACUGGGCGUAAAGCGUGCGUAGACGGUUAUAUAAGUCGGGUGUGAAAGCCCCGGGCUCAACCUGGGAAUUGCAUUCGAGACUGCAUAGCUAGGGUGCGGAAGAGGGAAGCGGAAUUUCCGGUGUAGCGGUGAAAUGCGUAGAUAUCGGAAGGAACAUCAGUGGCGAAAGCGGCUUCCUGGUCCAGCACCGACGUUCAGGCACGAAAGCGUGGGGAGCAAACAGG